rnacentral:lncRNA from 1 species
CUCCUUCUCCUGCAGAGCCAUGUGAGCCACCAGCAAGGAGGGACGCCAAUAAGGCAUCCUAUAAGAUAAGUCUUAUAAAAUAUAUAGAUUUAUGAUAAUUGAGACUGAGUUAACAGAUGAGAAUCCUAGUCAUUAGCCAAGCAGCUUUGAACCUAAUACAAGUCUCUCUGUGCAUUAAUUUGGGGCCUAACUCGGGCGGGCAGCUGGCAUAAAGCGCACAUGUGGCAGUGGGGCUUGGGUGGCUUUGGCGGAAAGAUUUAUCGUAGCAAUUGGUACAAAAGUAAGAAUGCAGGGGCAUUUUAUUGCUACCUUGAUUUAACAUAGUUACAGUAUUAGGUUCUCCCCUAAGAUCUAUGACGUAGCUAGCUACAGUUUUUGGCUGAGUUAAUGGUACCAAGAAUGGGUUUCAUCGUGGAAUGUGCCUUAAUGUUACCAGGAAAUGGUUGGUUACUUCCAUAGCAUUCUUGCCUUUUUGGCUUUAGUGGGCAUAUCUUGACAAGCAGGUUGUCACUGUGUCUCACAAAUGGGUGAGAUUGUUGAUUACUCUUCUACUCUGGAAGCAUGCAUAGAGCUUUCCAGCACUAGGGAAACUAACCCGUGAUGAUAAAGCCCGCAGGUCAGUAGCAUCUUGUUCUCCACGUUCUAUGAUCAUGUAUGUGUUAUGUGAGCUUUCUGUCCUGGCUAGUCCUAAGGACCUUGAACCCCAAAUAAACAUACAGACACUAUAGUAGUUAUGAAACUGUUGGCUAAUGACUAGGGCUUCUUAUUGGCCAGCUCUGUCUUAUUGGCCAUUUCUAUUAACCUAAGUAUUUCCCCGUGGUCUUAUCUUACUGAAGAAGGGUCCAGUGCAUCCUACCUUCCCGUUCUCACCUGGCAUCUGCUAUCUGCCUACACUUCCCAUAAUUCUCCUUGUCUCCCCACCCUGCCUGUACUUCCUGCCUCAUUGGCCACAGUGUUUUAUUCAUCAACCAAUAAGAGAAACAUUUACAGAAGACAUCCAUCAAAGGCUGCUUGGAGAAACACUGGCUAUGAAGACUCUUUGGGCCAGAGCACUGGCUAUUUUGAACCUUUGCCACUUGUUGUAACUGAAGAAAACCUUUUUCUUUUUUUU